rnacentral:rRNA from 1 species
GAUGAACGCUGGCGGCGUGCCUAAUACAUGCAAGUCGAGCGAAUGGAUUAAGAGCUUGCUCUUAUGAAGUUAGCGGCGGACGGGUGAGUAACACGUGGGUAACCUGCCCAUAAGACUGGGAUAACUCCGGGAAACCGGGGCUAAUACCGGAUAACAUUUUGAACCGCAUGGUGCGAAAUUGAAAGGCGGCUUCGGCUGUCACUUAUGGAUGGACCCGCGGCGCAUCAGCUCGUUGGUGAGGUAACGGCUCACCAAGGCCACGAUGCGUAGCCGAGCUGAGAGGGUGAUCGGCCACACUGGGGCUGAGACACGGCCCAGACUCCUACGGGAGGCAGCAGUAGGGAAUCUUCCGCAAUGGACGAAAGUCUGACGGAGCAACGCCGCGUGAGUGAUGAAGGCUUUCGGGUCGUAAAACUCUGUUGUUAGGGAAGAACAAGUGCUAGUUGAAUAAGCUGGCACCUUGACGGUACCUAACCAGAAAGCCACGGCUAACUACGUGCCAGCAGCCGCGGUAA